AAUGGACAGGAAAUUCAGGAGAAGAGCUCUUAUUAUUUAUACGGCUUUGAUAAUCGACACAGCUAUUCAUGUGCUCUUAAAGGAUAUGUGGACUUCCCUUCUCCUUCAGUGUGUGUCUAUGGUAAAAACUGCAACAGAUUGACUUACACUGACGAAAGAAUCUGUGCCUCCAAAGGCUCUUCAGUGAAAAUAUCUUGCACGUACAACAAGUACAAUUAUGGUGAGGCAUCAACAUUCUGGUUCAGGAAGAGUCCAUUACGACCUAAGGACCUUGUGGUAAACUCUCAGUAUGCAGGUCGUGCUGAGGUUGAAACAGUGAGAGGACGCUCCACUCUGACAAUCUCUGAGCUGACAGAGAGCGAUUCAGCCGAGUAUCACUUCAAAUUCAAAACACCAAGCUCUGAAUGGAGCAGUUCACCUGGUACAACUCUGACUGUCACAGAGCUCCAGGUGCAGGUGAUCAGAGUCUAUCAGUCCUUUACAGACCUGAAGUGUCACAGCAGCUGCAGUCCAGCUGGUCGUUCUUCCUUCAUCUGGUUCAAGAAUGGAGAGAAAUUCAGCGAGGGAGAGACA